rnacentral:lncRNA from 1 species
GCGCUGUCGCGACGGGCCGGCGUGAGGCACCGUGGCGCGGACUUCGUCUCAGCCCCGCCCUCGCCCCUGCCCUCGCCCCCGCCCUCGCCCCUGCCCUGACCGCUUUUCUCCCCCUCUCUCCCAGCUCUUGCCGCCACCUCGGUCGCGAUGGGGGCGCAGGACCGGCCGCAGUGCCACUUCGACAUCGAGAUCAACCGGGAGCCGGUUGGUCGCAUUAUGUUUCAGCUCUUCUCAGACAUAUGUCCAAAAACAUGCAAAAACUUCCUUUGCUUGUGCUCAGGUAAAAAGGCCUUGGGAAAACAACUGGGAAGAAGUUAUGUUAUAAAGGUUCUACGUUCCAUCGUGUGGUUAAAAACUUUAUGAUUCAGGGUGGGGACUUCAGUGAAGGUAAUGGAAAAGGUGGAGAAUCAAUUUAUGGUGGAUAUUUUAAAGGUAAGGCUUAAUAUUUUACGGUCUUUUGUUUCAGUUCUGAUAUUAAAGCAAGUUUGAUCAUAUACUUUUAAUGAGAAGAGGUUUACUUAUAGUUCACUUUUUGCAUGAAACUAAUGCUGCAUGAAAAUACUUUAUUUGCAUGAAUUUGGGGAUAAAUUAUAUUGUAAUAUAUAAUUUUUAAUUGACAAGAUUAAUUAAGGCUAACUUUAUGGUUAAACAUGACUUUCAGCAUGGAGGUUAGGCAACUAUAUACAUGAAAACUCCUAUCUUCCUGCCUAAAACUGUCAACAUAUUCUUUUGUUUAUAGAGAAUGUGGUCUUUUGCAAAAUGAAAAGGUAAGAGAACGAAGCUCAGUAACACAAACUCCAAUUCUGUUCCCUUGCACCCUUCCUAAUAAAUUUAUGGACAGUCUGGGUCAGGUUGUGGCUGGAUUUCUAUAUUGCUUGAAGACUUGGAAAAUUCUGUGUAUUAUUUCAUACAUGCUUCUGUAUCUUUUUUCAUUUCCCAAUGGGUUAUUAAUUUCACAUCAGAGAAAAGAGUCUAGUUGUGGGGUUUUUUUUCCCCUAAACCAAGCAAUUUCUUUGAAUAAAAGUUGAAAUUUCGUUUUUCAAAGGUUUGUAUGUUUUCUUUUGUAUAUUAGAACUAUGACUGUGUUUAUUCUCAUAAUAGUAGCAUCUGCAUAAAUCUAACUAUUGCACUUGCCCCAAAAAGCCUUAGAAAAGUCAGUUGCAGAGAUUUGUAAUGAAAUCUAAUAUUACUAGGUUUUAACGCUAUAAUAGCUUCAGUGUUAUAAUAGUCUUUUAUAUUUCCUUUGGGGGAAAAUGGAUUACUACUCUUUUUCAGAAGCCUGUUCCCAAGGUAAUCACUUUUUAAAGUUUUCUGUGUUUCUGUUUGUUCUGAAGAAGAUUUGUUUGUAUGAAUGUUAAAAGGACAUAUAAGUUAGUUUUCAAGGAUAUUCCUGCUGGAAUUAAAAUAACUCUAAGUGAUCUUUAUCACAGAUUUUUUUUUCCUUUGAACUAGUAGGAAACAGCUAUUUAGCUGGUUCUGUUAUGUAGCAAUUUAAAACUAAUGCUGUAGGCCACUUUGUGGUUGUUCCUUGUGGCAGAUACUUUUGUACCUUAAAAUUGUAUUUUGCUAUUUAAAUUUUUGUUUCACAGGGCUUUCUUCCUUAGAUAAUUUUGUGAUACAAUUGAGUAUACACAUACUUAAUUUAGAUAUGUUCCUGUAACUUAAUAUAACAUAAUUUUUUUGUCUUACAGUCUAGCUUCAAUUAAGUUGAAUAAUAAAUUUACCGUAUAAAAAUUAAACAC